AACGUAGGACGCAAGCGUUAUCCGGAGUUACUGGGCGUAAAGCGCGGGCAGGCGGUUCUGCCAGUCUGAUGUGAAAUCUCCCCGCUCAACGGGGAGCAGCCAUUGGAAACUACAGAACUGGAGUCUGACAGAGGUAGGCGGAAUUCCGGGUGGAGUGGUGAAAUGCGUAGAGAUCCGGAGGAACACCGGUGGCGAAGGCGGAUCUCUGGGCCAUUACUGACGCUGAGGAGCGAAAGCGUGGGGAGCGAACAGG
rnacentral:rRNA from 1 species